rnacentral:rRNA from 1 species
AUGAACGGCUGGCGGCGUACCUAACGCAUGCAAGUCGAAACGGACCCCUCGGGAGCAAUCUUGGGGGUGAGUGGCAAAACGGGUGAGUAACACGUGGGGAUCUGACUUUUAGUGGGGAAUAACGAGCCGAAAGGUUCGCUAAUUACCGCAUACGCUUGAGAAAAGGAAAGGACUGUUCGCAAGGACAGUUCGCUGAAAGAGGAGCCUGCGGUCGAUCAGGUAGUUGGUGAGGUAACGGCUCACCAAGCCCUCUGACCGAUAGCUGAUCUGAGAGGAUGACCAGCCACACUGGCACUUGCGAAAACGGGCCAGACUCCUACGGGAGGCAGCAGCGAGGAAUAUUGCACAAUGGGCGCAAGCCUGAUGCAGUAAACGCCGCGUGAGGGAAGAAGACCUUCGGGUUGUAAACCUCUUUUGGUAUUGACGAGUGAGGACGGUAAAUAUCGAAUCAGUCUCGGCUAACUACGUGCCAGCAGCCGCGGUAAGACCGUAGGAGGCGAGCGUUAAUCCGGAUUCACUGGGCGUAAAGCGCAUGUAGGCGGCUGGACAAGUCGUGUGUUAAAGCCCCUGGCUCAACUGGGGGAGGUCAUGCGAGACUGUACGGCUGGAGAGCAACAGAGGCACGUGGAACUCCCGGUGUAGCGGUGGAAUGCGUAGAGAUCGGGAAGGACACCAGUGGCGAAGGCGACGUGCUGGGUUGCACCUGACGCUGAGAUGCGAAAGUGUGGGGAGCAAAACGGGAUUAGAUACCCCGGUAGUCCACACUGUAAACGAUGAACCCUAGGUGUGGGCGGGAAUAACCGUCCGUGCCGAAGCCAACGCGUUAAGGGUUUCCCCGCCUGGGGGACUAUGAGCGCAAGCUUAAAACUCAAAGGAAUUGACGGGGGCCCGCACAAGCAGCGGAGCGUGCGGUUCAAUUCGAUGCGACAACGAAGAAACCUUACCAGGGUUUGACAUGGUUGUGGUAGUGCAGCGAAAGCGAAACGACCCGCAAGGGAGCAAUCACAGGUGAUGCAUGGCUGUCGUCAGCUCGUGCCGUGAGGUGUUGGGUUAAGUCCCGCAACGAGCGCAACCCCCUGUUGCCAGUUACAAGUGUCUGGCGAGACUGCCGCACAUUGUGCGGAGGAAAGGCGGGGAUGACGUCAAGUCAGCAUGUCCCUUUAUAUCCUGGGGCGACACGCACGCUACAAAUGGGCGUUAAUAGAGCGUAGCCAAGCCGACAGGCGGAGCAAAUCGCGGAAAAAGCGCCCACAGUUCAGAUUGCCCGGCUGCAACCCGCCGGCAUGAAGUCGGAGUUGCUAGUAAACGGGCGCGUCAGCCAAAGUUGCGUUGAAUACGUUUCCCGGGCCUUGUGCACACCGCCCGUCACGUCAUGGGAGUCGGCAAACACCUGAAGUCGGUGACCUAAACCGCAAGGAAGGAACUGCCGAAGGUGGGGCUGGUGACCUGGGACG